rnacentral:rRNA from 1 species
AUUGAACGCUGGCGGCAGGCCUAACACAUGCAAGUCGAGCGAACGGCGGACGGGUGAGUAAUGUAUGGGGGCUGCCCGAUAGAGGUGGAUAACUACAGCAAGCGGUAACUACUACCACAUACAAUCGAAUAACCCAUAUGUGAUUAGCUAGUAGGUGAGGUAAUGGCUCAACUAGGAGACGAUCCCUAGCUGGUCUGAGAGGAUGAUCAGCCACACUGGGACGGAGACACGGCCCAGACUCCGACGGAGGCAGCAGUGGGGAAUAUUGGACAAUGGGCGCAAGCCUGAUGCAGCCAUGCCGCGUGUAUGAAGAAGGCCCUAGGUUUGUAAAGUACUUUCAGUCGGGAGGCGUUACCGACAGAAGAAGCACCGGCUAACUCCGUGCCAGCAGCCGCGGUAAUUC